CCGCGGUAAUACGGAGGGUGCAAGCGUUAAUCGGAAUUACUGGGCGUAAAGCGCACGCAGGCGGUUUGUUAAGUCAGAUGUGAAAUCCCCGGGCUCAACCUGGGAACUGCAUCUGAUACUGGCAAGCUUGAGUCUCGUAGAGGGGGGUAGAAUUCCAGGUGUAGCGGUGAAAUGCGUAGAGAUCUGGAGGAAUACCGGUGGCGAAGGCGGCCCCCUGGACGAAGACUGACGCUCAGGUGCGAAAGCGUGGGGAGCAAACAGGAUUAGAUACCCUGGUAGUCCACGCCGUAAACGAUGUCGACUUGGAGGUUGUGCCCUUGAGGCGUGGCUUCCGGAGCUAACGCGUUAAGUCGACCGCCUGGGGAGUACGGCCGCAAGGUUAAAACUCAAAUGAAUUGACGGGGGCCCGCACAAGCGGUGGAGCAUGUGGUUUAAUUCGAUGCAACGCGAAGAACC
rnacentral:rRNA from 1 species